rnacentral:rRNA from 1 species
GAUGAACGCUGGCGGCGUGCCUCAAACAUGCAAGUCGAGCGGGGCUAUGUAAUAUCGCAAGGUAGAACAUAGCCUAGCGGCGAACGGGUGAGUAACACGUGGGUAACCUGCCUGGAAGACAGGGAUAACGAUUCGAAAGGGUCGCUAAUACCUGAUAAUAUCCUUUCAUCGCAUGGUGAUAGGAAGAAAGGGGAAACCCGCUUUCAGAUGGGCCCGCGUCCCAUCAGCUAGUUGGUAAGGUAAAGGCUUACCAAGGCGACGACGGGUAGCCGGUCUGAGAGGAUGUACGGCCACACUGGGACUGAGAUACGGCCCAGACUCCUACGGGAGGCAGCAGUUGGGAAUCUUAGGCAAUGGACGAAAGUCUGACCUAGCGACGCCGCGUGAGGGAAGAAGGCCCUUGGGUUGUAAACCUCUGUCAUGGGGAAGAAGGAAGUGAGGUACCCCAAGAGGAAGCCCCUGCUAACUACGUG